rnacentral:rRNA from 1 species
GCUAACCAGCUAGCUUAAUAAUUAAUAUAACUUAACAAUAUUUAUAACAAAACAAGACCUAACCCUAUAAACUAAACCAUUUUUUUACCUGAGUAUGGGAGACAGAAAAGGUUCGCCUUAAAGCUAUAGAAAAAGUACCGCAAGGGACUGCUGAAAGAGAAAUGAAACAACCCAUAUAAGCACUAAAAACCAAAGACUAAACCUUGUACCUUUUGCAUCAUGAUUUAGCCAGCACCCUCAAGCAAAGAGAUCUUUAGUUUGACACCCCGAAACCAGGUGAGCUACCCCGAGACAGCCUAAAUAAUUUAGGGCCAACCCGUCUCUGUGGCAAAAGAGUGGGAAGAGCUCUGGGUAGAAGUGACAGACCUACCGAACCUGGUGAUAGCUGGUUGCCUAAGAAAUGGAUAGAAGUUCAGCCUCGUACCCCCUUAAUCAAAAAUAUAUUAUUAAGACUACGGAGAUGUACGAGAGUUAGUUAAAGGGGGUACAGCCCCUUUAACAAAGGAUACAACCUUUACAGGAGGAUAAAGAUCAUAAUAGAUAAAAUAAACUGUUAUAGUGGGCCUGAAAGCAGCCAUCUAAAUAGAAAGCGUUAAAGCUCAGACAGAGAGGAAUUUAUUAUCCCGAUAAAUAAUCUUACUCCCCUAAUUUUAUUAGGCCAACCUAUGCCUACAUGGGUGAGACCAUGCUAAAAUGAGUAACAAGAAGACCUGAUCUUCUCCCACCAUAAGUGUAACCCAGCACGGACCAACCACUGGGAUUUAACAAGCCCAACCAAAGAGGGCAUUGUGAACAGUAAAAACUUCAAGAAGAACUCACAACUAACUAUUGUUAAUCUUACACUGGAAUGGAAUUUAAAGGAAAGACUAAAAGAGGGGGAAGGAACUCGGCAAACAUAAGCCUCGCCUGUUUACCAAAAACAUCGCCUCCUGCAAUAUAAAAUAUAGGAGGUCCAGCCUGCCCAGUGACUACGGGUUAAACGGCCGCGGUAUAUUGACCGUGCAAAGGUAGCGCAAUCACUUGUCUUUUAAAUAGAGACCUGUAUGAAUGGCUAGACGAGGGCUUGACUGUCUCCCCCCUCCAGUCAGUGAAAUUGAUCUAUCCGUGCAGAAGCGGGUAUAAUAUUACAAGACGAGAAGACCCUUUGGAGCUUAAGGUACAAAAUUCAACCAUGUUAAGCAACUCCAUAAAACGCAAGAACUUUAUGGCUAUGAGACUUUACCUUCGGUUGGGGCGACCACGGAAGAAAAGCAAGCCUCCGAGUGGACUGGGCCAAACCCCUAAAGCUAAAAGAGACAUCUUUAAGCCGCAGAACAUCUGACCAAUAAUGAUCCGGCUAAAGCCGAUCAACGGACCAAGUUACCCUAGGGAUAACAGCGCAAUCCUCUCCCAGAGUCCAUAUCGACGAGAGGGUUUACGACCUCGAUGUUGGAUCAGGACAUCCUAAUGGUGCAGCCGCUAUUAAGGGUUCGUUUGUUCAACGAUUAAAGUCCUACGUGAUCUGAGUUCAGACCGGAGCAAUCCAGGUCAGUUUCUAUCUGUAACGCUACUUUUCCCAGUACGAAAGGAUCGGAAAAUGGGGGCCUAUACUUAACGCACGCCCAACCCCUAACUAAUGAAAACAAAUAAAUCAAAUAAGGGCGGGCCAAAACCCUGCCGCCCAAGAUAAGGGCAU